AGGCACAGGAAUUCUCUCAUCUGAGAUAUUCUCAACAGAUGACAUCAGAGGGCACAGGCUCUCAACCUGUGGUCCGUGACCUCUUUGGGGGUUGGACAACCCUUUCACAGAGGUCACCUAAGACCAUCGGAAAACGCAGGCAUUCAACAAAGUCCAGAGUCAGCCAGAAACCCUUUGUGCCCCUGAAAAACACACAAGCAUUCAAGUGUUCAGCUCAGAUCCUGCGUUCAGAUCAAAGGUUUUCGCUCUACUGUCUUUCAUCAGAACCUCUGCUCAGUCCUGUGGGAACAGCUCGCCUGCUGGAAACCACCAGGCUACACAGGUUCUAGGAGUUCAUUCCAGCUUCCCCCACAUCCCAGGAAUGUGGCAAGUGCGGGCACAUCAACUAUGUCUGUAAGACUUCUCUGAAGGAGACAUAGCUCCCAGGGGCUGUUCUCAAAUAUGGCUUUGUUCUGGGGUUUCUUCAGUAAGAUUUCCUCUUAAUAAAAAGUCACUUCGAACAAGGAC
rnacentral:lncRNA from 1 species